UACUAGUGGUCCAAGUCGCAACCACGUUUAUUGGGUCUAAAACAUCCGUAGCUUGUUUAAUAAGUUCUUUGUGAAAUCCUACGUCUCAAGCGUAGGGCGUGCAGAGAAUACUGUUAGGCUAGAGAUUGGUAGGCGUAAGAAGUAUGCUCAAGGUAAUGGUUAAAUAUGUUAAUCUUGAGUAGACUAACAAUUAGCGAAGGCAUCUUACGAGGACAAAUCUGACAGUGAGGGAUGAAGGCCAGGGGCGCAAAACGGAUUAGAUACCCCCGUA
rnacentral:rRNA from 1 species